CAAAGAAACUCUCAAAUUGAUAGAAUGAAGAUCCAUUUAAAAUGGAGAUCCCUUUAAACAUCUGAGGAAGAAGAGAAAGAGAAGGAAGAGGAGGAGGAAAAGGAGGAGAGAACAAGAAGACAAGAACAUCAUCAUCAUUAUCAGAUAUGGCUCCACCCAAAGGCCAAUGACUUUUACACUUGGAAAUGAUGAAUGAUGAUACCCAAGAAAAGUAAUGAAAUAAAAAGCCAGCACCCAACUGUCUUAGAGGAAUUCAAGUGCCCCAGGCCCAAAUGAACUUUAUUUUCUGGGCCUGAAAGAACUGGAAGAUACAGUUGCUGAGCCAUCAGAUCUGAGAACUCAAAGAUCAGGAGGACUCUUUUGGGGAAGGAGAAAGCCCGCAGGGAGACUGUAUAACAGCAGGGUUGGGUACUCUAUAAACACCUGUGGAAGAGGGAGACAGGAGGAGAAGAGGAUAUGAACCGAUUGUUUCCAUCAGAAAUCUUCUGUAGGAGAGAAAACACCCUUUCCUGGGAGAAGGAGGGGGGAGAAAAGAAAGAAGGGGAAGAGCAGCAGAGGAGGAAGACUAGAACAUCCUAAUGUAGAUGGGGAAGACUGCACACGGCGGGAUGAAGGCAGAGGGGCUGGUCUUUGCUGUGGCUUUCAUGUCUCAGGUUACUCUACCAGCGGUCCAGGCACGUUGGAAGACACUCUGGAUGGGGGGAAGAUUACUAUCACAGCUGUAACUGUGGCAGGGAAGCCGUAAACACAGCAGACCCAGUCUCCAUGGUGGCAGGAGGGGGCACUGGAGGUGACAACAAUGGAGAAGGACCUUCCUUCUGACAAGUUUUAGAUACUCUGGGCUGAUUGAGUGAUGUAAUGACUUCAUUUGAGAACAGAAGGGCUUCAGGGAAUACAUUCAGCCAAGCCCCCAAAAAAGACUGCCCUGGAGUGAAACAAAUACCUUUGAGAUUUCACUCAGGAAGGAUGGGUGCUUCACCAGUUUUCUGGAAGAAUUUUACUCUCGGCCACAGAGGAUUGGAUCCCCUAGAGCUACGGAGAUUUGGCAGCAAAAUUUUGCCACAGGUCUGAUUGAGAGAGAGAGGGAGAAGAGAGUUCCUCAACAGGAACAUGUAACUCAUGUAUGAAAUUGACUGAAGAACAUUUUUGACAUCACUUGCCCUAUUUGGUUGUUCCUCUUCUCUACCAGUGGGUGACGGAUCGCAUCCUGCCAGCUGGCUAAUAUCGUAAUUAACAAAGUUGCAACCACAUCGGAGAAGUUUAAUCGAAAAAUUUGCCGGCAGUAUGAUGGCAUUGUCCCAGAGAUCACAAGCUAGGCAGCAACGACUUUCGCUCUGGGAGAAGGCGAGAUGAGGGAGUCUGAACUUAGCCAGUCCAAGCUUCUCAAGCGCCCCUUAAGCUUCGUUAAUGAGGUCCGUUGUGGAAUAUCUGGUGCGUUCCGAUGUUGGGAAUAAAAAUCUCGUCCUCUUGAAACUCUGACUGAGAAGUCAACAAACAACAAAUGCAACUCCAUCAUUUAUCGUGUGUUUGUGUUGCUGUUGGACUUCACAUGGUCCUGUAAGAGAGUCUCAAGCCUGAAUUGCCAAUCUCCAAAGGUCUAGUUGUGAUUGGAGCUGGGCUUGCUUUGCAGAUCUGUGCACCCAAAGACCAAGAGGGCAGAAAAUUGGGGAAUUUACUCCCAAGAUCGAUUUUUCUAUGUGGAAAACAAAAAUGUGAAACAGGGAAGACAUCACCAAAAGACAUUCAUCUGGAGAAACUCAUUAAGACUCUGCUAUUGUUUGCAAUACACACACACACACAUACACACACA